CCAUUGAUGAGCUUUACCAGUAAUUGGGGUUCUCGUUAAUUUUAGGUCUCAUUAAUUAGGGUAACCAUUAAUUUAAGUCUUAUUAAUUGGGGUAGCCGUUAAUUUAUGACCCAUUAAUUGGGAUUCCCUUAAUUGGGGUCCCCUCUGGGUUUGGGUCGCCGUUGAUGGAGGGUUCCCGUUGGUUUACAUUCCCAUUGAUGAGCUUUGCCAUUAAUUGGGGUUCUCGUUAAUUUUAGGUCUCAUUAAUGAGGGUAACCAUUAAUUUAAGACUCAUUAAUUCGGGUAGCCAUUAAUUUAUGACCUAUUAAUUGGGAUUCCCUUAAUUGGGGUCCCCUCUGGGUUUGGGUCGCCAUUGAUUGCGGGAUCCCAUUGGUUUACAUUCCCAUUGAUGAGCUUUACCAGUAAUUGGGGUUCUCGUUAAUUUUAGGUCUCAUUA
ensembl:lncRNA